rnacentral:rRNA from 1 species
AUUCCUUGUCGGGUAAGUUCCGACCCGCACGAAUGGCAUAACGGUCUGAGUACUGUCUCAAGCAUAGACUCGGUGAAAUUGCAAUGUCGGUAAAAAUGCCGACUACCCGUAGCAAGACGGAAAGACCCUAUGGAGCUUUACUAUAGCCUGGUAUUGAAUUAUGUUUUAAGGUGUGUAGGAUAGGUGGGAGACUGUGAUAUUUAGAUGCUAGUCUAAAAGGAGUCAUCCUUGAAAUACCACCCUUCUUAAAAUGUAAUUCUAAUUCCGCAAAGCGGAAAACAGUGCUUGGUGGGUAGUUUAACUGGGGCGGUUGCCUCCUAAAGAGUAACGGAGGCGCACAAAGGUUGACUAUCUCCGGAUGGAAAUCGGAGAGAUAGUGUAUUCGCAUAAGUCAGCCUGACUGAGAGACUUACAAGUCGAUCAGACACGAAAGUGGGUGAAAAUGAUCCGGCAUUAACGAGUGGAAGUGAUGUCGCUCAA